UACGGAGGGUGCAAGCGUUAUCCGGAAUCACUGGGUUAAAGGGUGCGUAGGCGGCACAAUAAGUCAGAAGUGAAAGGCUGUAGCUUAACUAUGGAAUUGCUUUUGAUACUGUUGAGCUUGAAUUGGGUUGAGGUUAGCGGAAUGAGUCAUGUAGCGGUGAAAUGCAUAGAUAUGAUAUACACAAUCA
rnacentral:rRNA from 1 species